rnacentral:rRNA from 1 species
GUGUGAAUUGCAGAAUUCCGCGAAUCAUCGAGUCUUUGAACGCAAGUUGCGCCCGAGGCUUGACCAAGGGCAUCUCUGCCAGAGCGUCACCGCGACACCCACCAGUCCACUCCCCAAUAAUUACCCUAGUUGUUGGGAGUGCUGAGUGAAAGUGGCCGUCCGAAUGGGGGCCACCCGAAGGAUUCAUUCUUGGGGUGGCCAGAUUGGGUCGGCUGAAAUAGAGGGAAUUUGGCCGCCGUGGUGACACAGCCCGCGAUCAGGUGAUCAAAACUUAGGGAACAACUCCCUAAGUUGGACAAAUGUGCACGGUGCUGUGUCUCCCAGUUGGAUAUAUUCCAAAGCAGGUCUCUCCCGAACUGCCCCCGACUCUUAGAGUUGGGGGGAGGGAGGGAGACAAAAAGUCCCGCAUCAGACCUCUGAUCAGAGAAGACUACCCGCUGAGUUUAA